AGCAGCAGCCGCGGUAAUACGGAGGGUGCAAGCGUUGUCCGGAUUUAUUGGGUUUAAAGGGUGCGUAGGCGGCUAUUUAAGUCAGCGGUGAAAGACUCCGGCUCAACCGGAGCAGUGCCAUUGAUACUGGAUAGCUUGAGUGUUGGAGGGGUACAUGGAAUUGAUGGUGUAGCGGUGAAAUGCAUAGAUACCAUCAGGAACACCGAUAGCGAAGGCAUUGUACUGGCCAACAACUGACGCUGAGGCACGAAAGCAUGGGGAGCGAACAGGAUUAGAUACCCCCGUAGUCCCUGUCUCUUAUAC
rnacentral:rRNA from 1 species